CCUACGGGCGGCUGCAGUGGGGAAUUUUGGACAAUGGGCGCAAGCCUGAUCCAGCCAUUCCGCGUGCAGGAUGAAGGCCUUCGGGUUGUAAACUGCUUUUGUACGGAACGAAACGGUCUGCCCUAAUACGGCGGGCUAAUGACGGUACCGUAAGAAUAAGCACCGGCUAACUACGUGCCAGCAGCCGCGGUAAUACGUAGGGUGCAAGCGUUAAUCGGAAUUACUGGGCGUAAAGCGUGCGCAGGCGGUUAUAUAAGACAGAUGUGAAAUCCCCGGGCUCAACCUGGGAACUGCAUUUGUGACUGUAUGGCUAGAGUACGGCAGAGGGGGAUGGAAUUCCGCGUGUAGCAGUGAAAUGCGUAGAUAUGCGGAGGAACACCGAUGGCGAAGGCAAUCCCCUGGGCCUGUACUGACGCUCAUGCACGAAAGCGUGGGGAGCAAACAGGAUUAGAUACCCCAGUAGUC
rnacentral:rRNA from 1 species